rnacentral:lncRNA from 1 species
AUGACGUACCUAUUGCUAGCUCGAUGUGGAUUGUGGCCGCAGACGUGGACGUGGCGGUGCAUGAGGAUGUGGCCGAGGACGUCGAGGGAGAGGAAGAUCGAGAGACUGAUUGUAUCUUGCUGAUUGUAUCUUGUUGAUUUAGAUUGAAUACUUUGUAUAAUAUUAUAUAUGACUUUAUUUACUUCAUAUUUGUAUAUUUUGUCUGUGUGUUUGUUGAUAUUUUUAUCUGGUUGAUUGUAUCUUGUUAUUCCACUCGUCUUGUUGUUUUUCUUGUUUGAAUAUUUGUGCUCGUGAAAAUUCUUUCCUCAAACUUAUUCAAAUUAUUUUUAAAAUCGAACUGAAAAAGG